CCGUUGAAACACUGUUUCCCGUACGAUCACCGAAGUUAAGCAACGUCGAGCCUGGUUAGUAGCUAGGGGAACAGCUUGGGAAUACCAGGUUUUGUAAG